GAGGGUAGAGCUCAGUGGUAGAGCACGUGCUUAGCAUGCACCAGGUCCUGGGUUCAAUCCCCAGUCCCUCCA
rnacentral:tRNA from 1 species